rnacentral:sRNA from 1 species
AUCCAGCCCCGAUAGAAGUGGAAAUCCUUUUAUGCCGGUGUUCGGCAUAAAAGAUUGCAACGGAUAGCGGGACUAAAG